UACGGGGUAGGGCAGCUGUUCGUCGAAUCAUUGGGCGUAAAGCGCGCGUAGGCGGCCCGGUAAGUCCGCUGUAAAAGUCCAGGGCUCAACCCUGGAAAGCCGGUGGAUACUGUCGGGCUAGAGUCCGGAAGAGGCGAGUGGAAUUCCUGGUGUAGCGGUGAAAUGCGUAGAUAUCUGGAGGAACACCGGUGGCGAAGGCGGCAUCCUGGACCGAUACUGACGCUGAGGAGCGAAAGCCAGG
rnacentral:rRNA from 1 species